rnacentral:rRNA from 1 species
AACUAUAUGUAAUAAUAUAUGGCUAUUUCUGCUCAAUGAUUUACUUAAAUAGCCGCAGUACCCUGACUGUGCAAAGGUAGCAUAAUAAUUUGACUUAUAAUUGAAGUCUAGAAUGAACGAAUAUUCGGGUGGUAGCUGUCUUUAAAAUAAAAAUUGAAUUUGGUAAUCAAGUGCAAAUACUUGUAUUAUUACAAAAGACGAGAAGACCCUGGAAAUUUUGCUAUUUUGGUUGGGGCGACGGAAUUGCAAUUAACCAAUUUUAAAUUACGGGAAGUAAUGCUGUUAGAUUAAAUUACUCCAGGGAUAACAGCAUAAUUAAUAUUAGUUUGUGACCUCGAUGUUGGACUAGGUACUAUAGUUUUUAGAAGGACCUAUAGUUUGCUCUGUUCGAGCAGUAUCACCUACAU